rnacentral:rRNA from 1 species
GUGCCAGCAGCCGCGGUACUACCGGCAGCACGAGUGAUGGCCGCUAUUAUUGGGCCUAAAGCGUCCGUAGCCGGCCGGGCAAGUCCGUCGGGAAAUCCACCCGCUUAACGGGUGGGCGUCCGGCGGAAACUGCUCGGCUUGGGACCGGAGGACCCGAGGGGUACGUCCGGGGUAGGAGUGAAAUCCCGUAAUCCCGGACGGACCGCCGGUGGCGAAAGCGCCUCGGGAGGACGGAUCCGACGGUGAGGGACGAAAGCUCGGGUCUCAAACCGGAUUAGAAACCCCAGUAGUCC